UUUUUUCCUGUAGCAAUACAGGGAAACGUCUAGCGGCGAACGGGUGCUUAACACGUGGGCAAUCUGCCGAGAAGUGGGGGAUAGCUCGCCGAAAGGCGAAUUAAUACCGCAUGUGAUCAGAGUGGACAUCCAUUCAAAAUCAAAGUCGGGGCAACCUGACGCUUCUUGAGGAGCCCGCGGCCUAUCAGCUAGUUGGUGAGGUAACGGCCCACCAAGGCUUUGACGGGUAGCUGGUCUGAGAGGACGACCAGCCACACUGGGACUGAGACACGGCCCAGACACCUACGGGUGGCAGCAGUCGAGAAUUUUUCUCAAUGGGGGAAACCCUGAAGGAGCGACGCCGCGUGGAGGAUGAAGGUCUUCGGGUUGUAAACUCCUGUCAUUUGGGAACAAUGCGUAAAUAUUAACUGUAUUUGCGUUGAUAGUACCAGAAGAGGAAGAGACGGCUAACUCUGUGCCAGCAGCCGCGGUAAUACAGAGGUCUCAAGCGUUGUUCGGAUUCAUUGGCGUAAAGGGUGCGUAGGCGGCGCGGUAAGUCGGGUGUGAAAUCUUGGAGCUUAACUCCGAAACUGCAUUCGAUACUGCCGUGCUUGAGGACUGGAGAGGAGACUGGAAUUUACGGUGUAGCGGUGAAAUGCGUAGAUAUCGUAAGGAAGACCAGUGGCGAAGGCGGGUCUCUGGACAGUUCCUGACGCUGAGGCACGAAGGCCAGGGGAGCAAACGGGAUUAGAUACCCCGGUAGUCCUGGCAGUAAACGGUGCACGUUUGGUGUGGGAGGAUUCGACCCCUUCUGCGCCGGAGCUAACGCGUUAAACGUGCCGCCUGGGGAGUACGGUCGCAAGAUUAAAACUC
rnacentral:rRNA from 1 species